UAGAGUGUGAUUAUUGAGUUUGUGUAUGGUUUGAGAAUGAGAGUUGUGGGUAUAUUUAUUGGAAAGCGCGGCUCGUUAAUUCCACGUAAGUAAAAUCGUCGUUAAUACCUCGUAUAUAAAAACACGGGCCUUUGUAAUUCCUCGCUAUUUCCUCGUACAAAAAAACACGGCCCUUUGUAACUGCUCGCUAUUUCGUCGUAACCUUACGAAGAAUUUGCGACGAUAUGUAAUCUUAUAUAUAC
rnacentral:lncRNA from 1 species